GCAUAUCUAGUCCUGCAUACCGAAGCCGAUUGUAUAUAGGGGAUCACAAAAUCUCUAUGUUAGGCAUCCGUUUAAGCUUCUUUCUAGGACCGACAUUAGCACUCCUUCCAACUAGUCAUCUUAUUAGCAUUAUUUCUGAUGGCGAAUAUAUCUUUUAAUAAUAGAUAUUGUACUGUAAUUAUUUUCUAGAAUUUAUAAGACCUAUUUACUAUGAAUUUUGACAAAUAUUGCAUAGCAUGAGGAUUUCAGGGCUGAUUAUAAUCUGGACCAAUACCUAUGGGAACCUGAAUUCACACUUGCAGGCAGAAAAUACAAAUGUCCAGACUUGGAGGAAAAUAUAGACCUGAGUUACCAAAGUUUUUUUUGUCGUGCCUAAUAAAAAUUAGAGAAUUCAAUGCUAAUAAAGAUAACCAUUUGUCUCAAUUUCCUAUCACGGUACCUAGCAGGAAAGAUCAAGACUUUUGAUGGCAGAGGCCACGUUGCAAAGUUGUGAUUGUGUUUCUUCCUCUGUUCACUGCAGCACUCAUGGCGAUUUCCAGAGUGGACGAUUAUUGGCAUCAUUGGCAAGACAUAUUUGCAGGAGGUUUCCUAGGAUUGGUCAUAGCUUCAUUUUGUUACCUGCAAUUUUUCCCUCCCCAAUACGACCUACAAGGUUGGUUGCCCCAUGCAUACUUACAGGUAGUGUCCGAUUGUCUGAUGCCAGAGACAAUGUGCCAUUGUAGCCAUUUGCUAUUAGCUCCUUGCGCAUGAGGCCUUCUGAGGUUGAAAGUGUAGCUGUUGCAUUGGACAUCAGGAUGGGAGCUACGCGAGAAAC